UUUAAAUUAUACCUGCCAUGUCAUGCUGCACGCGAAUUCAUACGCUCCUCGGGAACACUUUUUCCACUGCUUUUGGAUACCAAGAUAUUUAUUUGAAAAGAACUUAGAUAAGAUAAAUGGAAUAUUCACCUAAUAUUUGCAUUUGAAAUAAAGAAUGGUUUCCAUGAAUACGAGUUCAUUGCAACCUGUGCAUAUACAAUAAAUGAAAUAUUAUUUACAAUAAUGCAAUAUAUGCAAAUGAACCAGUUGAUAACAAAGGAUUCGUUUUGCUCUGAGGAGCUGUAACUUUCAGUAUUGUGAAUUCCAAAUUACUACCAUAACAUUCCCCCCUUAGUGGGAUGUACCAGUAUAUGUAUGCAGGUGCAUAUAUCUUUGAUAAUGUGCAUAUACCUAUAGCUACUAAUUUUCUCUCAUGCGUACACAUUCACAUCCCAACAUUGGCAGAUUCAGCCUUGCUGCCUUUCAAAGUGCUAAAGCUUGGUGCUGUUGUAGGACAGACAGCAGAAUACUUGCUGCUUUAAUUAAUGCUAUGUCAUGCUUGACAGGAAAGGAAGUGCACUUCUGCUACUGUGCCAUUACUUUUUGGAGUCCAUUCUGUAGAUGACAAAAGUUCUUCUGUGCUUUCUGCAGAUAUAUACAAAGCAAUCUGUUGUAGUCCUAGCCUAAUUUUGAAGAAAAGUGCACCCAAACUGCUUGACAUGAUAGGUGCUACAGUCCACUGCAAGCGAAGGAGCAUGCAGAAAAUCCCUGCUCAUUGCGUUAAUGGGCUUUGCUGUCUCUGGUUUGUGCAUUGCUUCUCUAUUAUAUCCACCUCUCUAGAAAUGGCUUGAUGUGGAAGUCUUUAAACACAGAUUCAUCUGCUUUACUUUUAAAAAGUUAAGCUUGUUUUUUGUCGCAUAACACUGUUACAGACAGAAUCUGCUUCUGAAUGUGUACCUUGCAUGUUGCAAAUUACUUAUUUUUACAGUAAAAAAUAACUAGUUCUUUGGGUGCCAAAAUUAUUUGAACGUUGUUAUUCAGAAAUAGCUUUCUUAGGCAUGGGAAUUUUUUCAUUACAUUGUGGCGGGGAUAUUGCUUGAAAAUUAACUUAAUUGGAAGGUGACGUGUACACCAUGAAAAUAAAUUAGGAAUGACCCAGUAGCUUGAAAAGCGGUACAAAGAUUCCAUGACUUUCUAAAAGAAGUAAAAUAGAAUACCCCACUGAUGCAAAAUGGGCAAUUUUAUUUUGUAAUCUCCUUUAAAAAGGACAGAUCAGUGGAUGAUGCUGAAA